rnacentral:sRNA from 1 species
CUAGUACAUGGAUAUGGCUACAUUUAAACAGUCAUGUCCAGAUGAAGCUCUGUUGGUUUGGGUUUUGGAAAGUCUCCCUGCGGAACCAACCCGGGAACAGGUAUUCAUGCGGAAAAUCCCCUCUAUGAUCCCCAUUCCAUUUGAGUGAAGAGUGAACACGUAUCUCGUCAAUGGCUCUUGACUUGCCCGAGAGGUUAACUUCAUAGCCUAACUGCAGGAUCUCGUAAUUAAUGAGUGCAUCCCCCCCUCUCCAGCCAUCCCCUUGAACACAGCUCCGCCCCAGAGACUCACCCAGAGAAUUCUACACUUUGACGGGCCUCAUUACCUGGGGCAAAAGUUACUGCGCCUGCUGGUAGUAGAGGGGACGGCCCACCCAAUCCAAUCUCUCCAACACACCCC